rnacentral:lncRNA from 1 species
UUUAGGGUUUGAUUUAAGGUUUGGUUUAGGGUUUAGGAUUUGGAUUAGGGUUUGGAUUACGGUUUGGAUUAGGAUUUGGUUAGGGUUUGAUUUAGGGUUUCGAUUAGAGUUUGGACUAGGGUUUGGUUUGGGUUUGAUUUAAGGUUUGGUUUAGGGUUUAGGAUUUGGAUUAGAAUUUAGGGUUGGAUUAGGGUUUGGAUUAGGGUUUAGGGUUUGGUUAGGAUUUGAUUUAGGAUUUGGAUUAGGAUUUGGUUAGGAUUUGAUUUAAGGUUUGGUUUAGGAUUUAGGAUUGGAUUAGGGUUUGGUUUAGGAUUUGAUUUAGGGUUGAUUUAGGGUUUAGGAUUUGGAAUAGGAUUUAUUUUAAGAUUUAUUUAGGAUUUGACUUAGGUUUUAGGAAUUAUUAGGGUUUAAGAUUUAAUUAGGUUUGGUCUAAAGUUGAGUGAAAUUCAAUAGGGUUUUAACUAGAAUUAAACUAAGGUUGAAUUGACAUAUAUUUGAGUAAAAUUUGUAUUCAUUCUAAUAUUUCUUUAAGAAUUUUAUUGUUUGUUUGAAAUUUCUUUGAGUUGUUUUGAAUUUGAUUACGUUUGUUUAUCAUUAUUAUAGUCUAAUUAGAGCAUUGUUAGUAUUCUAUUUAGGAUUUUGUUAUCGCAAUUUCUAUUCUUCCUUCUACAGCCAGGUGCCCGGAGCAUUCUCAAGCUAGACUUCACAC